rnacentral:rRNA from 1 species
GACGAACGCUGGCGGCGUGCUUAACACAUGCAAGUCGAACGGAAAGGCGCUGCUUUGGUUGGGUGCUCGAGUGGCGAACGGGUGUGUAACACGUGAGUAACCUGCCCUUGACGGUGGGAUAACUUGAGGGAACUGGGGCUAAUACCUGAGAGGAGAUCGUGAUGCAUGGGGGGGGUUGGAAAGUUUCGGCGGUUGGGGAUGGACUCGCGGCUUAUGAGCUUGUUGGUGGGGUAGGGGCUUACCAAGGCCUUGAAGGGUAGCCGGCCUGAGAGGGUGGCCAGCCCCAUUGGGACUGCGGUACGGCGCAGACUCGUACGGGAGGCAGCGGUGGGAAAUAUUGCACAGUGGGCGGAAGCCUGAUGAGGCAGCGCUGCGUGCGGGAUGCCGGCCUUCGGGUUGUGAACCGCUUUCGCCUGUGACGAAGCGUGAGUGACGGUAAUGGGUGAAGAAGCACCGGCUAACUACGUG